UUAUUUGAUUUCCUUCGGGACUGAUUAUUUUGUGACUGAGUGGCGGACGGGUGAGUAACGCGUGGGUAACCUGCCUUGUACAGGGGGAUAACAGUUGGAAACGGCUGCUAAUACCGCAUAAGCGCACAGCAUCGCAUGAUGCAGUGUGAAAAACUCCGGUGGUAUAAGAUGGACCCGCGUUGGAUUAGCUAGUUGGUGAGGUAACGGCCCACCAAGGCGACGAUCCAUAGCCGACCUGAGGGGGUGACCGGCCACAUUGGGACUGAGACACGGCCCAAACUCCUACGGGAGGCAGCAGUGGGGAAUAUUGCACAAUGGGCGAAAGCCUGAUGCAGCGACGCCGCGUGAGCGAAGAAGUAUUUCGGUAUGUAAAGCUCUAUCAGCAGGGAAGAUAAUGACGGUACCUGACUAAGAAGCACCGGCUAAAUACGUGCCAGCAGCCGCGGUAAUACGUAUGGUGCAAGCGUUAUCCGGAUUUACUGGGUGUAAAGGGAGCGCAGGCGGUGCGGCAAGUCUGAUGUGAAAGCCCGGGGCUCAACCCCGGUACUGCAUUGGAAACUGUCGUACUAGAGUGUCGGAGGGGUAAGCGGAAUUCCUAGUGUAGCGGUGAAAUGCGUAGAUAUUAGGAGGAACACCAGUGGCGAAGGCGGCUUACUGGACGAUAACUGACGCUGAGGCUCGAAAGCGUGGGGAGCAAACA
rnacentral:rRNA from 1 species